rnacentral:antisense_RNA from 1 species
UUUUAAUAAGUAACUCCAUUGUUUUUCUCUUUUCCAAGAUGGCCGAUGUUAUGGUUUUCUACGAAGUCAGUGCUUACUUAGCUCACUAACAGCGCUGCUGUUGGCGGCUGCGGCUGCGGCUGCUGCUGUGGCAGGAUUUUCAAUGUGGUGUGUUUUCAAGCCUCACUCACUCAUCCUCUCAUUCCCAAACAUUCAGCAUCCGUGCACACUCCUCACUUCCAGGUUUUUCAAAAGAUGGGAGAUUUCCAGUGGGGGUCCUCAGGUUAUCAUCCC